GAGGUAGAGAUAUUAGAACUGAAUCAGAUCGAUCCCUCCCCCCAAUCUGUUUUGCUGCACUAAAUGAAUAACCGAGUAGCGGUGGUUUACCUAAACCUGAGCAUAAUCAUGGCCUUUUUUUCCCGUUACGCCUUUAGCUUACUAGAUAUAUUGGAAAUAAUAUGAUAUGUUAUAACUUAUGUUGAGAUCAUAGUUUGUUGACCUACUUGAUGUGCCAAGCAUGUGUUUACUUGUGAGCAGAAGAUUUAUCACAUAUACUGCAUAUUCAAGUUUCAGUUGAAACUAAAAGACCAUUUUCAUCCAGGGACGACUUGCUGACACGAGGAGCUCCUAGAUUCCUUUCCAUCCAAUUAAUAGUUUUAGAAAUAUACUUAUCUGAUUGUAUAUAACUAGGCUUUUGCUUAUGCCUCAAGAACAGCUGUUUCACAAUAUCAGUUGUUUAGAAGGUUCGUGUAUACAUUUUUACAAAACAAUGCAAACAAGCGUCUUCUAGAUUUCAUUAUUGGCAAAUAAUAUUUUUAUAUAUAUCGCGUCCAGCAUAUUAUUUAUUGGGUCAGCGAGAUUAUAGUUGAGAGAUACAAUUGCUUUUACUACAUGUUAUUAACUGUUUCCUCACCUUUGGUGUAGGGAUCCAUCCUCCAUGCAUAUUUCCGUGUGUGUCCCUACGUUCUGUUGUAGUUUAGCUAUCUACGACAUACGUAAGUUGUGCGAUUCAUCAUCACUUGAUAUUUGACAUGCUUUUCUGCUCACCCUUGCUUAGCUGCCGCCGGAGAGGACGGCACCAGGACUUCCUCGAGCAUUGGAGGUGUCCUGGGAUGGACACACUUGCAGGGUACCAGUGAAUGUUUUGGCUGGCUGAACUAGGUGGACUCACCCACGUGCCCUGCGGCUAGUUCUCCCUCUGGUGGUUCCCCUCCGGUGUUGAGCAAAGAAUGCAAGGAACCCGAUUUCCUCAGUACAAGCAAACUGGAAAUAACCUUGAGAUCGCCAAGGAGGUGUAACCAAAAGGUCCACUUUUAGAGUAAACCCCACCAACCGUAUCACAAGUGGUGUUACUGGCCUCAAUGGUCCAUUUCCAUUGUAUAGUGUGAUAUUCCUGUUAUGUUGGUGCUAUCUUAUGUCUGGAUUCUCUUAUUACCAAGUUCAGAGUUUCAAUAUGAAUGCCACCAUUUUCAUGUGUAGGUCAAUGAGUUUGUCAAGCAUGCUAGAGGUGCAAAGGUACAUUCUUUUACAUAAUUGGCCAUCUGAAAAACGAGAUUCCUGCAAUCAUGGUGGAAGCCAAGGCUCAAAAGUAGUAUUAAAAAUUCUACACAGCCACCCAGGUGUCCAUCUAUGCUAGCUCUUCCCUUUUGGUUAUGUUGAGGCCUCUCUCUCAUGUAUUGGUGAAGUUCUUAUUUUCCUUUGGAGCAAUAAAACUAAUUCAAACUUAUGCAGAAGUGUUGUGUGAUGGUUGGCUUGUGAGAUGGGCCAGAUAAAAAACUUGUAUAGCUUGCUGCUCAUCAGUUCGCUCUCUCUUAGUAGCUCAACUUUGUUGUAAUACACUAAGACUGCUUUUGGUUGCAACAGAAGGAGCUAGUUCAGCUUAAGCGUAAGUCCUGGUUGAAGGAUGGAUUUUAUAUCAGGCUUGAAGCUAAGUUGCAUUUUGUUGUCCGCAUCAGUGGAACACCCAUGUUCCACUCUGGAGCCUAAAUAUUUUUAGUCAGUUCCGCAACGGUGGUGUGUUGCUCUUGUUGCCGGAGAGGACGUUAUUGUCCUGCGCUUCCACGAACACAAGGUGUCUAGCAUGGACACGCUUGCUGACAUCACCAACAAGUACAUCGUUGAGGUACCCUCUCUAAUCCUAGUGGUUUGUUAGGUAUGUUGCUCAAUGCAGACGGUGAUCUGUGUGCAUUAUAUUUUCUUUCCAAAUGCGAGGAAUAGGUUAGGGGAUUACAUCGCUAGUUUGUAAUUAUAAAUAAAGUGGUUCAUGAUUUUUUUUUAUUACACUGCCCUUUUUAGCAAUUACAUGAACUGGUUUUGAGAGGCCAAAUAGACUGUCAUGAUUUCUUU